rnacentral:rRNA from 1 species
UACGUAGGGUGCAAGCGUUGUCCGGAAUUAUUGGGCGUAAAGAGCUCGUAGGCGGUUUGUCGCGUCUGUUGUGAAAACUCGGGGCUUAACCCCGGGCCUGCAGUGGGUACGGGCAGACUAGAGUGCGGUAGGGGAGACUGGAAUUCCUGGUGUAGCGGUGAAAUGCGCAGAUAUCAGGAGGAACACCGGUGGCGAAGGCGGGUCUCUGGGCCGAUACUGACGCUGAGGAGCGAAAGCGUGGGGAGCGAACAGG